UACGUAGGGCGCAAGCGUUGUCCGGAUUUAUUGGGUUUAAAGGGUGCGUAGGCGGCUUUUUAAGUCAGAGGUGAAAGACUGCCGCUCAACGGUAGCAGUGCCUUUGAUACUGAAGAGCUGGAGUGCAGCUGAGGUAGGCGGAAUACAGGGAGUAGCGGUGAAAUGCAUAGAUACCCUGUAGAACACCGAUUGCGAAGGCAGCUUACUAAACUGUAACUGACGCUGAGGCACGAAAGCGUGGGGAUCAAACAGG
rnacentral:rRNA from 1 species